rnacentral:tRNA from 1 species
AGAAGGUUAGUCCAAAUAAGACCUCUGAUUUCGGCUCAGAAAAUCAUGGUUAAAGCCCAUGACCUUCAU